GAUGAACGCUGGCGGCGUGCCUAAUACAUGCCAGUCGAGCGAACGGACGAGAAGCUUGCUUUUCUGAUGUUAGCGGCGGACGGGUGAGUAACACGUGGAUAACCUACCUAUAAGACUGGGAUAACUUCGGGAAACCGGAGCUAAUACCGGAUAAUAUUUUGAACCGCAUGGUUCAAAAGUGAAAGACGGUCUUGCUGUCACUUAUAGAUGGAUCCGCGCUGCAUUAGCUAGUUGGUAAGGUAACGGCUUACCAAGGCAACGAUGCAUAGCCGACCUGAGAGGGUGAUCGGCCACACUGGAACUGAGACACGGUCCAGACUCCUACGGGAGGCAGCAGUAGGGAAUCUUCCGCAAUGGGCGAAAGCCUGACGGAGCAACGCCGCGUGAGUGAUGAAGGUCUUCGGAUCGUAAAACUCUGUUAUUAGGGAAGAACAUAUGUGUAAGUAACUGUGCACAUCUUGACGGUACCUAAGCAGAAAGCCACGGCUAACUACGU
rnacentral:rRNA from 1 species